CAAGUUCGAGGAAAGUCCGUGCACCAAAGAGCAGGAUGCCGGAUAACGUCCGGUGGAGGUGACUCCAAGGAUAGUGCAACAGAAAGAAACCGCCGAAAGGCAAGGGUGGAAAGGCGGGGUAAGAGCCCACCGGCGCCCUGGAGACAGGGCGGCCCUGUAAACCCCAUCUGGUGCAAGAAUAAUGCCGAAAUGCGGCUGCUCGCCGCGGCUAAUCAUCGCUAAAGUCUUCCGGCAACGGAAGAAAGAGAUAGAUGACGAUCAUAACAAAACACGGCUUACGGGUUUGCUU
rnacentral:RNase_P_RNA from 1 species